rnacentral:rRNA from 1 species
UAGGGAAUCUUCCACAAUGGGCGAAAGCCUGAUGGAGCAACGCCGCGUGUGUGAUGAAGGGUUUCGGCUCGUAAAACACUGUUGUAAGAGAAGAAUGACAUUGAGAGUAACUGUUCAAUGUGUGACGGUAUCUUACCAGAAAGGGACGGCUAACUACGUGUCAG